GCGCUCAACCAAGCUACUCCAACAUUCCACAGUCCACACCCAUCUCGAUCUGCACCAUACUACUACGAGCUGCAAAGCCUGCAACCGUUCUGUCCUUCUCUUGGCCGCCAUCAUCAACAAUUAGCACCUCCUCUCUCCAUGGAUCCGAUCUUGGCCUCCGUUCCUCGCUCCGCCGUGUGCUCGGCGUCGUCGGUGUACCGGCGGCGGCGGCGGCAGAAGCCCGUGGGCGGCCUCGCUGGGCGGUGCAACGCCGUGCUGAAGCAGCACAAGACGAGGCUGUACAUCCUCGGCAGGUGCGUCUCCAUGCUCCUGUGCUGGCACGACCAUGACGCCGACUGAUCGAGCGCAGCCGAGCUUGCUGGAAGAGCACUGCCUUU
rnacentral:lncRNA from 1 species